GUAAGGCAGGCGGAGACAGGAGCUCAGCCCCUUUGGUCUGAGGAUUCAGUAGAGAUUUUGCAAUAUUUCUAUCUACCUGAUGUACUGCUUUCAAGAUGGGACCCAGAAGCUGAGAAGCCAGUAGCUGCUUGGUUCCGGCAGCCAGAGACAUCCUGUGAUGUGUGCCUCACAUUCGAGAGACCAUGAAACCAGUAGGUAGUCGCUCAGUCUGUGAGGCUGCUGCCACAGCAGUCCCAAUAUGACACUAAGACCGUGGAAGAUUCCUGGAGGCCACUUUAGUCAACAAUGGAAGCCUGGGGAGGCUGGAUCUGAUGGAGUAUCGUGGCAUGGAGUCGUGGGCCAGAAGAUGCUGCUGGCAUUAGACUAGCAAGGAUACAGAACAAGCAAAGAGAGGGACAAUACAAGACACACCCUUCAAAUCCACAUCCCCAGAGACCUACCUCUAACCAGGCGCCACCUUCUAGACAUCCAUUUGACUAUGGACUUGGAAUCAGUCCACUGAGGUUAGUUAGUAUCCUCAUGACACAGUUGUUACCUCUGAACACAGUUGCAUGACUAGAUCUUCAACACACUAGCUGUUAGGGAUGGUUCCUAUCCAAACUGUAACAGGCCAGUGCAGCUGAUGACAGAAGUUGAAGUCAAUACUUACUCAUUCUGAAAACCCUAGAACCGUUAAGCAUGAUACUAAAUCCACUCUGCCUAUGUUCUAACAUGGAAGUGCAGAGCUCGGAUGACAGCAUGUUUGCAUCCAUCAAGCUUUACUGAAUGACUUAUGCUCACUGUUGACACCUACUACUCAGAUAAGAAAAUUCCUUUCACAAUUGUACUGCACAUUGCCAGUUCAUCUGGUCAUCUAAGAGCUCUAAUAGAGACGCGUGGCAUGGAUAACAGGGCUUUUCUGUCUGCAAAACAGCACCCACGUUGCAGCCAAUGCAUCAAGGAAUCAUUUUGAAUCUCAUUACUUAAGAAAUACAUUUAUGGGCUGGAGAGAUGUCUCAGAGGUUAAGAAUACUGGCUGUUUUUGCAGAGGACCCUGGUUCUAUUCCCAGGACCAGCAUGGGGGUUCAUAAACAUUUGUAAUUCUAGUUCCAGGGCUUUCAGUGUCAUCUUCUGGCCUCCACGGACACCACACAUGCAUGUGGUACAUAGGUAUAUGUAGACAAAACACUCAUACAAUCCAAUAAAUAGUUUAAUUAAAAAUAAAAUGCAUUCACGAGGCUAUAGCUGCCAUAGAUGAUGAUUUCUCCGGAAGAUGUGAGCAAAGCAAACUGAACACCUCAGGAAAAGGACUUCCUUUCUAGCUGUCAUUAAGAACCCAUGAGAGAUGAAAUAUCAGUAUUAAUAGGAAUUUAGAAGGCAGUUUCAACCCCUCACUUCAGGGGUCCUGAGACCUCGGUGGAGGAGUACCUGCAGAAACUGUUGAAGCAGAAACUAGAGAUGGAGCCUGAAGAUGUGGCCAAAUUGCUGAGAUCUCCUGAUGGAACUUCAACACUUUAGUUCCUUCUUAUGAAUAAGCAAGAUGGUGCUUUCUUGAGAUGGAAUCUAUUCCUGUUCUGAAGAUGCUGGAACAUUGUCGAGAGAAUAGCAAAGGAUUUAGAGUAUUGCAUAAACUUGGUUGCCAAAGCAACAGCAUGUUCGAAAGAACUGACUCCAAUUUUGAAAGAAGUUCCCCUGUGGGUAAAAUACUACCACAGCAUUCCAUGCUAUGGAGAAAUGUCUUUUUGGGAACGCAGGUCAAUUGGUAUGGUCAGCUUCAUUGUUCUCUUAAGAAAUUGCUGGUACUCUCA